AUUGAACGCUGGCGGCAGGCCUAACACAUGCAAGUCGAGCGGAGCGGCGGACGGGUGAGUAAUGCCUAGGAAUCUGCCCGGUCGUGGGGGAUAACGUCCGGAAACGGGCGCUAAUAUCGCACACUAUCAGAUGAGCCUAGGUCGGAUUAGCUAGUUGGUGUGGUAAGGGCCUACCAAGGCGACGAUCCGGAACUGGUCUGAGAGGAUGAUCAGUCACACUGUAACUGAGCCACGGUCCGGACUCCGACGGUAGGCAGCAGGGGGGAAUAUUGGACGAUGGGCCAAAGCCUGAUCCAGCCAUGCCGCGUGUGUGAAGAGGGUCUUCGGAUUGUAAAGCACUUUAAGUUGGGAGGCGUUACCAACAGAAUAAGCACCGGCUAACUUCGUGCCAGCAGCCGCGGUAAUUC
rnacentral:rRNA from 1 species